CCACCACAUCUGUGUCACCUGCUUCAAUUCCCCCACCUUUCUUCAUUUCCCAGCGAACCAGCGAAACGACCCCCUUCGCCCAUCAUCUUCUCCAAAAUUCGAAAAGAACAGGAUCCGGAAACAAAACCAACGACCCUUCAGCCUCUUCUUCUUCUUUGAACCCAACACACACACACAAGAACACAGACCCCAGCGAUAAGAAACGGCUUCAAAAUGAUAGGUUUUGAUUAAAUAUUGGAGUUGUUUGCGAGUUCGUUAGAGUUCGCCGUCGACCGUUGGUUCCCGUCUGUGGCUUGUGUCGAAGUCACCAUUUAAGAGCCGAGGUCGUUUGCAGUGAUAGGCUAUUCUGACCGAGUCGGGUUCGUCGCCGCCGUUCCGGCUCUGGUCAGUGGUGAAUGCCUUUGAAAUAGGAAGCUUGCACACAGAUUUCAAUGAAUAUUACAACCAAAUCUAUAGUUUUACAUGCUUCGACAACUUGCUGAGGUGACGUCUAUAACCUCUGUCCCUUUAAGCUUUCAAAUACGUGCUUCAUUAAUCCAUGGAAAGUUCAUGGAAUUGGUUUUAAAAUUGCUGAAAGUUUCUUUUGGUUUCUAAGUUAAAAAUGAGAGUUGACAUGGGAUCUGUUGUGCCAUUUUGUUUAUUACAGUAGUUUAUCUUUGAUAUGGUUUUAGAUUCCUUUUGUAUGUUUCUAAAUUUAUUGGUUUGCUCCUUGGGAAAUCAGUGCAUGGUUUUGUCAUAAAGAAUCACUGGGAACUUAAUGUUGAGCUUGGUACUUGCUUAGUAGACAUGUAUGCUAAAUAUGGAUCCUUGAAUUUUGUUCUCUGGUUUUCAAUAUGAUGAAAGAUAGAAAUAUCGUUACCUGUACUGCUUUAAUUUGUGGAGCAACAAAACAUGGUUUUGGAACUGAAGCGCUGGAGAUAUUUAGGAAAAUGAGACAUGGGAAUCUUUAAAAACAAGAAAAAUGCUUCUAAUAUCUAAUAUUAUAGAUGACAAAUAAUUGGAUAAUUUUAAUUUUCAUCUUGGUUUGGACUGUUGGUAUUUUACACUAUUUUACUGGUUAGCGUGAUUGUGCAUACGUUCGCAUGACAUGAUCACGAUUUUUUUAAAAAAAAAAUAAAAAGUCGAAGUAUGCGUUCGCGCAACUUCGAGUAAACUUUCUUAAUAAUAAUAAAGCGUUAUUAAUUGUGGACACAUUUGCAUGACAUGAUUUUUAACGCGCCAAACAGAUGGGUACACGUACACGUGACUCAUUUCGAGAUAAUUUUUCUUUAUUAAAGCGCUGUAAAAGGUAAAAGCACAUAGGUUCUGAAAUCAGUAUUAGACAAUUUAGUCAAGCCAAGUAUAAUCAAAGCGACCGUGCUAGAACCACGGAGCUCGGGAGUGCCUAACACCUUCUCCCGAGUUAACAGAAUUCUUACCCGGAUUUCUGGUUCGCGGACUGUUAAACAGAGUCAAGCUUUUCCUCGAUUCAGAUUCAACCGGUGACUUGGGACAUCAUAAAUCUCCCAAGUUGUGACUCUGAAUCUUUUGAUAAUAAUUUCCAUUUCGAUUGUCCUUUAAUAGGAAAAACUCCCUUAUAAUAUACUUCUCUCAGAGGUAUAGUAAAAAAAGGAGGUGUGACAGCUCUGGCGACUCCGCUGGGGAUCGAACCCAGAAUCUCUGGUUCAGGGUUCAAGAAUUCAAGCUUGUUUCAUGAUUUUUACUUGACUUUAUUUAUUGUUCAUAAUAGUGUAUUCUGUGAACCUUUAUGCUAAUUGCUAUCUGCUUACCGCUUUGAUAUUGUUGGAAUUGUAUAUAUCUGUCUUCUUACGCCGCCCAUCUGAGUCUUCUGAAAAUGGUGCAUAUGUUCGCGUAGCCCGCUUUUUCUGUAGAAAUUAUACCAAAUAGAACAAGGCUGGGCAAGCGACAAGGCCGGGUAGACUUCAGUGCUCCCGAUACGUCGCCCCCUCCUCGGCCCAGUUGUCCGCUCGGGUACCCCAAGUCUAGACCAAAACCGCAGGAUUUAAACCUAGAAAAACACAGCCUCAUGUCAGAUUCCUAAUAGGAACGUGUGUUUGCAUCAUCUUGAUGCAUCCUAUGCGCUACAUGUUGCAUUUAUUCAAGGGUAAAAGGGUCAUUUGGCGGACCAAUGAUAGUUGAGGGCAAGUGAAAAAAUGAAAAAAAGGUAAAAGGAGAGGGUGAAGUAUGAGGAUAAAGCGAGCGGGGCCUAAUUAUGUUUUCUGUUACAUUAUUGUUUAAAAAAAAGAAGAGAAGAGCUUGAAAAUUGAAAAGAUUUUGCACUUUUUAUCAUUUUUCAAAAAUAAAAAAAAACAAAAAAAAGAGAAAAGAAAAUCCAAAAAAGAUUUUAUAUGUUUCAUCACUGUUCGAAAAAAAAAGGAAAAAAUGUGUUUUCUUUAUGUUAGUUGUUUUUAUUAUUCUCGCCUGUAUCCAAUCUACCUGAACUACGCAUACCUGAUUCUCGCCUUUCCGCCGUGAUACGUAGGCAACCCACAUAGGUUCUGGUCUUCCUAGUAAAUCUUAGGUUCUUGGUUUUGCGGGGUGUUAGCCAAAUUUUGCACUUCUAGUCACCUUUAGCCAAAUAAGUCAUUUUGCAAAAAUAGCCUCAAUCAUGUCUUGCAUGUGUCUUAGGGAAUGUUAUUGUCUCACAUAGUGUUGGUUUAGGUUUUCUUAUACAGGUGUGGAUUUAUUUACCGAAGUUCGAGCAUGAGAGACACCCCGUGACCAUCCGGUCAGGAUUGCAUUCAGGAGUUGCUUAAGGAGAUUU
rnacentral:lncRNA from 1 species